rnacentral:rRNA from 1 species
AUACGGAGGGCGCAAGCGUUGUUCGGAAUUACUGGGCGUAAAGAGCGUGUAGGCGGUUGGGAAAGUCGGUUGUGAAAUCCCCGGGCUCAACCCGGGAACUGCAUCCGAAACUUCCGAGCUAGAGUCCCGGAGAGGAAGGCAGAAUUCCCAGUGUAGGGGUGAAAUCCGUAGAUACUGGGAGGAAUACCAGAGGCGAAGGCGGCCUUCUGGACGGUGACUGACGCUGAGACGCGAAAGCGUGGGGAGCAAACAGGAUUAGAUACCCGAGUAGUCC